GAAAAGCAGCAUGGAGAGAUGGAGAAAAGAGCCCUUGAAAGACUCCAUGGAUCCUGCUGUGUCUCAAGGUGCAAAAGUCCUCACCGAAAGACAUUCAGAAAAUAAUUCACAAUAUUUUCUUCAACCAGCAGUCUUUGAAACAAGUUGAUUUCACAAAAGGCUCAGGAAGCUUGCUGAGUUUUGCUACUUUCUGGCAUACAAUAAUAAAUUCCUUGGUGACCAUUCCAUGAAACAGGAGAUUGGCCCUCUUCAGACAUUGGAUCUGCUGUUGCCUUGACCUUGGAUUUACCAGAUUCUGAUCACUGCUCAGUGGUUGAAGAAGAAUGACAAAGAUAUGGAGCAUG